AGAAUAUUCUUGCAAAUUGGUAAACAAAGUGUGGCAUGAGCGUCCUUGUUUGCUGUUGAGUAAAAUUCAAAUGAGUUGGUUGUUGGUGACAACCAAGAAACUUUAAAAGCUCCAGUAGCUUCAUUGUCAACGACCAAUACCUUCGCCUAUGAAAACGCAUUAAUCUUUGGAAAAGAAAAGCUCGACUAGAGCUGCAACUUUUGCAACUUGUUUCUCCAUCGCCACUGCUGCAAUGCUUGCUGUGCUUCUCAUACAUUUGGACGAAGAGAUUCACAACAAAGGUCUCGUCCUUUGCCGGAGUUAACUUUUCUCGCUGCUGCUGCUGCUGCUGCUCGAGCAAACUUUGAGGAAUCCUCUCCACGAACCUGGCACGACCGGAUGAGCUCAGUCCACAGCCUAUUUCCAAGCGGAUAUUUCCAAAACGGAUUUUGUUCCGCACGAUAAUUCGCUCUCUGUUGCUCGAAAGAAAUUGUAUCU
rnacentral:lncRNA from 1 species